GACGAACGCUGGCGGCGUGCUUAACACAUGCAAGUCGAACGGAAAGGCCCUGCUUUUGUGGGGUGCUCGAGUGGCGAACGGGUGAGUAACACGUGAGUAACCUGCCCUUGACUUUGGGAUAACUUCAGGAAACUGGGGCUAAUACCGGAUAGGAGCUCCUGCUGCAUGGUGGGGGUUGGAAAGUUUCGGCGGUUGGGGAUGGACUCGCGGCUUAUCAGCUUGUUGGUGGGGUAGUGCCUUACCAAGGCUUUGACGGGUAGCCGGCCUGAGAGGGUGACCGGCCACAUUGGGACUGAGAUACGGCCCAGACUCCUACGGGAGGCAGCAGUGGGGAAUAUUGCACAAUGGGCGGAAGCCUGAUGCAGCAACGCCGCGUGCGGGAUGACGGCCUUCGGGUUGUAAACCGCUUUCGCCUGUGACGAAGCGUGAGUGACGGUAAUGGGUAAAGAAGCACCGGCUAACUACGUG
rnacentral:rRNA from 1 species